rnacentral:rRNA from 1 species
GACGAACGCUGGCGGCGUGCUUAACACAUGCAAGUCGAACGGAAAGGCCCUGCUUUUGUGGGGUGCUCGAGUGGCGAACGGGUGAGUAACACGUGAGUAACCUGCCCUUGACUUUGGGAUAACUUCAAGAAACUGGGGCUAAUACCGGAUAGGAGCUCCUGCUGCUUGGUGGGGGUUGGAAAGUUUCGGCGGUUGGGGUUGGACUCGCGGCUUAUCAGCUUGUUGGUGGGGUAGUGGCUUACCAAGGCUUUGACGGGUAGCCGGCCUGUGAGGGUGACCGGCCACAUUGGGACUGAGAUACGGCCCAGACUCCUACGGGAGGCAGCAGUGGGGAAUAUUGCACAAUGGGCGGAAGCCUGAUGCAGCAACGCCGCGUGCGGGAUGACGGCCUUCGGGUUGUAAACCGCUUUCGCCUGUGACGAAGCGUGAGUGACGGUAAUGGGUAAAGAAGCACCGGCUAACUACGUG